GACGAACGCUGGCGGCGUGCUUAACACAUGCAAGUCGAACGGAAAGGCCCUGCUUUUGUGGGGUGCUCGAGUGGCGAACGGGUGAGUAACACGUGAGUAACCUGCCCUUGACUUUGGGAUAACUUCAGGAAACUGGGGCUAAUACCGGAUAGGAGCUCCUGCUGCAUGGGGGGGGUUGGAAAGUUUCGGCGGUUGGGGGUGGACUCGCGGCUUAUCAGCUUGUUGGUGGGGUAGUGGCUUACCAAGGCUUUGACGGGUAGCCGGCCUGAGAGGGUGACCGGCCACAUUGGGACUGAGAUACGGCCCAGACUCCUACGGGCGGCAGCAGUGGGGAAUAUUGCACAGUGGGCGGAAGCCUGAUGCAGCAGCGCCGCGUGCGGGAUGACGGCCUUCGGGUUGUAAACCGCUUUCGCCUGUGACGAAGCGUGAGUGACGGUAAUGGGUAAAGAAGCACCGGCUAACUACGUG
rnacentral:rRNA from 1 species